rnacentral:lncRNA from 1 species
GUCUAUGUACAUGCCAUUUUAAUUCAAAAUAUGGUACCUACUUUUGAAGCUCUUGAGGAUGUGAUGAGAUGAGAGAUCUUCUAUCCUGACUUUACCUCUUCGAGACAAACUGUACCUACGCGUUAAAAUUAAACGCGUUAGGCCGGUGAAGGCUUAGUAAGCACUACAAAAAAUAAACAGAUAAAUAAAUAUAAACAAAAUAUGUCAAACUCUUUCUGUUAUUUCGUAUUUACGUACGUAUAAGCUUCAUAAAACUUACCUUAGCAUAUUAAUGAUUCGCUUUUAUCCACAAAUCAUAAUCUUAGCCCAAAGUAGAUUUAUAUAGAACACACCGGAUAUACGGAACAAAUACAGAGGUGCAUUAUUAUGCACUAAUGAACAGAGAGCACUAAAGUGCUAUACAGAGAGCACAGAUGUGCUAAACAGAGAGCACUGACGUGCUAAAAUCAGAGAGCACCAACGUGCUAGUAGUCAGAGAGCACCAACGUGCUAAUAAUCAGAGAGCGCGCUAAAGUUCCUUAAUGGCAUGCCACUAAUAUCCUGGUAGUUCUAAAUUCCAUCUACUUGGGCAUUAAAACUGAAUCUCAUUCAAUUAAAUACUUUAUAGAAUUAUUUCGAAAAAGAUUUCUCAUUUCUCCAUCAUUACAAUUUAGUGCACAUUUCACAAUUCACAAUUAUCACACCAUUUUCACAUAUAUAUACUUUUGUCACAAUAUUUACUUAAUGUUCAAUCAAUGUACCACUAUAUACUUUCCAUAUAUAAUUUUCUUUACAAAUUUCAUAGUUCCAUAAUCUUUUAUUUUACUUUAUUUUAUUUUAUUUCUAAAUAAUUCUAUACUAUAAUAUAGGCAUUUAAAUAAAAUAAAUUAAAAAAAAUAACCUUGUAGUACUUGCAACAAAAAGGUUGAGAUGAUAUCUUCCUUCACUCCUUAGCCUUCUCUUUCCCUUUUUCUUCAAUUAGGUCCUUUCCUUUCUUUUCUUUCUCUUCAAUUUCAUAUAAAACACAUAACAUUUAUAUAGUAGAAAAACAAUCAAAUAACUUUCCUAUAUGAUUUAAUAAGAAUAAACAUAUAUGAUAUAAAAAUUUCAUAAUUUCUUACCUUAGCUAAUAUUUCAAUUUAAUUCAUAACUAAAAUUAUUUCUAUUUCUAUCACAAUCUAUACCUUAUUUUUACUUAAAUUCUACUUACAACUUGACUUAACUCUCAAAUUUUCACUAAUAAACCUUAAUUUCGAAUUUCUUACAAUUUUAAAUUAAACUUAUAACUUAUUUCUCAAUUUAAUCUUUUUCCCAAUUCUAGUUUGAAUUUCCAUCAAUUCAAUCUCUAAUUCAUCCACUAUUUCAAUAUAAACUACAUAAAAAAAUUCUACUAACUUUCAAAAUUUCAACAUAUACCUACUAAUAUUUUAAUCUAGAAUCAUAAAAACUCAAAAAUUUCAAGAAAAAGACUUAAUUUGACUUACCAAUUUGAAAUUGAACCUUAAAACCCUAAUUUUCUUCUUUACUUUUUCUUUCUUUCCUUCUCCCCUAUUUCUCCCCUGUUCCGUUUCGAAUUCUAUUCUGUUUCUUUCUUUUCAUUUCUUUUUCUUUUGUUUUAUAUA